UCGGAUUUUUUCUUUUCUUUAUAUGAGUAAAAAGAUUGGAAUUGUAUUGUUCAGACUACCGGGAAAAAGUCGGAUACACACUCAAAAUUAAUCGGAUUGGGUCGUUGCAUCCUAGAGCUGCACUGCAGGGGGCCGUCCUCAUCUCCAUCACGAGGAGGAAACACAUGGAGGUACGGUGAUGCAUGGCGUGCAGCAGAUCACUGAGCUGCCAGUCCGCGGGGCCCCAGGAGGCCCCCGAGAGCCACAGAGAGUCGAUGCCACACCGAUUCCUCCUGGCAGCCGAGACACGAGUCACAAAUCAGACACCAGCAGAUGGAGAUGCAGCCAUGAUGACUUCCUGCCAAAUUAAAACAGAGGAAGCUAAAAAAUUUGCAUGAAAACACUGC